CCUACGGGAGGCAGCAGUGGGGAAUAUUGGGCAAUGGGCGAAAGCCUGACCCAGCGACGCCGCGUGAAUGAAGAAGGCUUUCGGGUUGUAAACUUCUUUUCUCAGGGACGAAGAUAGCGACGGUUCACUAGGACUACGCGACGGCUAACUACGUGCCAGCAGCGGCGGUAAUACGUAGGUGGCAAGCGUUAUCCGGAUUUAGUGGGUGUAAAGGGGGAGUAGGCGGGAGCGCAAGUCAGAUGUGAAAACUCAGGGCUCAACCAUGCGCCUGCAUUGGAAACUGUGCUGCUGGAGUGCUGGAGAGGCAAGCGGAAUUCCGUGUGUAGCGGUGAAAUGCGUAGAUAUACGGAGGAACACCAGUGGCGAAGGCGGAUUGCUGGACAGUAACUGACGUUGAGGCGCGAAAGCGUGGGGAGCAAACAGGAUUAGAUACCCGAGUAGUC
rnacentral:rRNA from 1 species